GGUAGCGAAAUUCCUUGUCGGGUAAGUUCCGACCUGCACGAAUGGAGUAACGACUUCCCUACUGUCUCAACCAUGAACUCGGCGAAAUUGCAGUACGAGUAAAGAUGCUCGUUUCGCGCAGCAGGACGGAAAGACCCCGUGACCUUUACUAUAGUUUGGUAUUGGUGUUUGGUUUGGCUUGUGUAGGAUAGGUGGGAGACUGUGAAGCAUGGACGCUAGUUUGUGUGGAGUCGUUGUUGAAAUACCACUCUGGUCAAUCUGGAUGUCUAACUUCGGGCCAUGAUCUGGUUCAGGGACAGUGCCUGAUGGGUAGUUUAACUGGGGCGGUUGCCUCCUAAAGUGUAACGGAGGCGCCCAAAGGUUCCCUCAGCCUGGUUGGCAAUCAGGUGUUGAGUGUAAGUGCACAAGGGAGCUUGACUGUGAGACUGGCAGGUCGAGCAGGGACGAAAGUCGGGACUAGUGAUCCGGCGGUACGUUGUGGAACGGCCGUCGCUCAACGGAUAAAAGGUACCUCGGGGAUAACAGGCUGAUCUUGCCCAAGAGUCCAUAUCGACGGCAUGGUUUGGCACCUCGAUGUCGGCUCGUCGCAUCCUGGGGCUGGAGUCGGUCCCAAGGGUUGGGCUGUUCGCCCAUUAAAGCGGUACGCGAGCUGGGUUCAGAACGUCGUGAGACAGUUCGGUCCCUAUCCGCUGCGCGCGUUGGAAAUUUGAGAAAGGCUGUCCUUAGUACGAGAGGACCGGGACGGACGAACCUCUGGUAUGUCAGUUGUACCGCCAGGUGCAUGGCUGAUUGGCUACGUUCGGGAGGGAUAACCGCUGAAAGCAUCUAAGCGGGAAGCCUGUUUCGAGAUGAGAUUUCCUGGCACUUUUGGUGUGUGAGGCUCCUUAUAGAUGAUGAGGUUGAUAGGCCGGGUAUGGAAGCGGGGACUGAAGACUCGUGGAGUUGACUGGUACUAAUAGGCCGAAGGCUUACUUUU
rnacentral:rRNA from 1 species